GACGAACGCUGGCGGCGUGCUUAACACAUGCAAGUCGAACGGAAAGGCCCUUCUUUUGUGGGGUGCUCGAGUGGCGAACGGGUGAGUAACACGUGAGUAACCUGCCCUUCACUUUGGGAUAACUUUAGGAAACUGGGGCUAAUACCGGAUAGGAGCUCCUUUUGCAUGGUGGGUUUUUGAAAUUUUCGGCGGUUGGGGAUUGACUCGCGUCUUAUCAGUUUGUUGGUGGGGUAUUGGCUUACCAAGUCUUUGACGGGUAGCCGUCCUGUGUGGGUGACCGGCCACAUUGGGACUGAGAUACGGCCCAGACUCCUACGGGAGGCAGCAGUGGGGAAUAUUGCACAAUGGGCGGAAGCCUGAUGCAGCAACGCCGCGUGCGGGAUGACGGCCUUCGGGUUGUAAACCGCUUUCGCCUGUGACGAAGCGUUAGUGACGGUAAUUGGUAAAGAAGCACCGGCUAACUACGUG
rnacentral:rRNA from 1 species